AAGAUACUAGUAUAGACGAAAAUACACUGCCUUGUCAAGGCGGAAUCGUAGGUUAGAUCCCUGCGUAUCUUG
rnacentral:tRNA from 1 species